rnacentral:tRNA from 1 species
GGGGGUAUGGCUCAGUGGUAGAGUGCAUGCCUAGCAUGCACAAGGCCCAGGGUUCAAUCCCCAGUGUCACAG